rnacentral:rRNA from 1 species
CAGUUUAACGGCCGCGGUACCCUAACCGUGCGAAGGUAGCAUAAUCACUUGUUUCUUAAAUAGAGACUAGUAUCAACGGCAUCACGAAGACUAUACUGUCUCCUCCCUAAAAUCAAUGAAACUGAUCUCCUCGUGAAGAAGCGAGGAUAUACAUAUAAGACGAGAAGACCCCAUGGAGCUUUAAACGAACUUCAAUUGUUCCUACCCAUAACAUACAAAUUGAACACUCCCUGACAGAUAGUUUUAGGUUGGGGUGACCGCGGAGUAAAACAAAACCUCCACAAUGAAUGUAAUAAAAUUCUUAUAAAAGAACUACAAUUCUAAUAAUCAAAAAUUUGACAUAAGUUGACCCAAACACUUGAUCAAUGAACCAAGUUACCCUGGGGAUAACAGCGCAAUCCAUUUUAAGAGCCCAUAUCGACAAAUGGGUUUACGACCUCGAUGUUG